GGGGCUGUAGCUCAGAGGGAGAGCAUUUGCAUGGCAUGCAAAGGGCCGAGGGUUCAAGUCCCUCCAGCUCCACCA
rnacentral:tRNA from 1 species